rnacentral:rRNA from 1 species
UACGGGGGGGGCAAGCGUUGUUCGGAAUUACUGGGCGUAAAGGGCUUGUAGGUGGCCAACUAAGUCCGACGUGAAAUCCCUAGGCUUAACCUAGGAACUGUGUCGGAUACUGGAUGGCUUGAAUCCGGGAGAGGGAUGCGGAAUUCCAGGUGUAGCGGUGAAAUGCGUAGAUAUCUGGAGGAACACCGGUGGCGAAGGCGGCAUCCUGGACCGGUAUUGACACUGAAAAGCGAAAGCCAGGGGAGCAAACGGG